UGAAGCAGAGGUGAGGGAGCUGUCGCUACGUGUCCUCCCGGGGAGACUCAGAUUCCCAGGCUUCCUACUCACUGCAUUUGCUGGUGAAGCAGCUCUGGAGCCCCUAAAUCCUCUGAGAAAAAACGGACAGGAGACUGUGCAUCAGUGGAGAUAACCAACAGCCAUUUUCCUAUUGUAUGAACAAGCAGAAUUGGAGGAGACACAUAUUCAGCCAUCAGUUAUGAAGAAACUUUUGAGAAACUUUAUUAAAAAUAUGAAAAUUUAGAGAAAGACCAUAGAAUAAAAGCAGGGGAAAACAUGUGGAUAUGAUGGAAGUAAAAUGGGAAUUUAAGAGGAGAGGAAAUGGAUGUUCAGAA